UACGAAGGGGGCUAGCGUUGCUCGGAAUCACUGGGCGUAAAGCGCACGUAGGCGGCUUUCUAAGUCAGGGGUGAAAUCCUGGAGCUCAACUCCAGAACUGCCUUUGAUACUGGAGAGCUUGAGUCCGGAAGAGGUGAGUGGAACUCCGAGUGUAGAGGUGAAAUUCGUAGAUAUUCGGAAGAACACCGGUGGCGAAGGCGGCAUUCUGGACUGCAACUGACACUGAAAGACGAAAGCCAGGGGAGCAAACGGG
rnacentral:rRNA from 1 species